rnacentral:lncRNA from 1 species
UGUGUGAUGCUGAAAAUGUAAAAAGUCAUUUUGAACUGAAGAUGGGGGCAUGUGUUUCAGAUGAUUUUUCCUUGAAACAAGUGAUACAAAAAAUUAUUAAAUCUGCAACUGGGGAAAGAUGUGCGGAUUUGAAUGAGGGUGAGCUUAAUAAAAAACUUGAAGAUAUUAUGAAGGGUAAGAAAUACCUGCUUCUUUUGGAUGAUGUAUGGAAUGAAGAUGCUCAAAAAUGGUUGUUGUUGAAGCCUUUGUUAUCAAAAGGUGCUGAUGGAAGUAAGAUUAUAGUGACUACCCGUAGUCAACGUGUUGCUGAGAUUAUGGGUACUGUUGCUGCGUACAACCUAAGUCUUCUCGGUCAAGAGGACUGUCUGUCGUUGUUUUACAAGUGUGCAUUCAAGGAAGGGAAAAUGGAGUUGAAUCCAAAUUUGGUUGGAAUUCGGAAAGAAAUAGUGGAGAAAUGCAAGCAAGUUUCUCUGGCAGUGAUUAAUUAACUUGGGGACUCAACUGUAUGGUAGGACUGAUGAAAAAGAGUGGGAAUCGGUGAGAGAUAGUGAGAAGUGGGAAGAAGAGGGAGAUGGCAUUUUACCUGCCUUGAAAAUAAGUUAUCAAAGACUGCCGACACACCUGAAAAGAUGCUUUCUUUAUUGCUCCGUUUUCCCAAAAGAUUACCCAUUCUUUGAUAUCUCAUUGGUGCAUUUUUGGAUGGCACAGGGCUCAUUCUCCCAUCAUCAAAUCCAAAUGAGAAAUUGGAAGAUGUUGGCUUGCGUUAUGUGCGCCAGUUGAUCUCAAGAUGUUUCUUCCAAGAUUAUGAGGAUAUGAUUGUUGGAGCUAACUUUAAGAUGCAUGAUUUAAUGCAUGAUCUUGCAUCAUCAUUGGCUCAAAAUGAGUUUUCAAUCAUAAGCUCUUAAAACCAUUAAAUUUCCAAAACGACCCGUCAUUUGUCAGUUCUUGUCUCUGAUUUAUUUUUUCAUAAAACUCUUCCCAACUUCCAUCAAGUGCGGUCAAUAAUUUAAAUUUAUUUGAACUUAAAACAUCAUUAUUAAAUUUUAUAUUUGUCUAAUUUUAUCUUUAGGUUUAAUGUGAGGAUCCUUCGGCUAAGAUCUUUUACAACAGUUUAUCACUUACGAAAAUCAGCUUAAUGCUCGGAGUGUCUGCUGUGUGUGAUGAUUUGUCAUUGAUAAAUUGAUAAACAUUUGGUUUUUUUAAAUUAUUGGCUUGCCUCUUUAUCUUAUUUAAAAUAUUGUGUGUGAUGAUUUAAAUAAUUAUGCUUAACAAAUAAAAUAUUGCGUGUCAUAUAAUUCUACUUGUUUUGUCCAUGGCCCAAACACUACUAGGCUCAUGUCUUAUUUAAAGUUUAUAAUUUUUUUUAUUUUUUUGGGUUGCGGUAUAACUUAUUUUUUAUUAAAUUUUAAUUUUUUUAAAAUUUUAAUAUAUUUAUGCAAAAAUAUCUAACACACUCCAAAACCAUUCCUUAAUCCCAUUUUUACAAACACUACUGGGCUAAUGACUUAUUAAAAGUUUAUAAUUUUUUAGAUUUUUUUCUUUUUCUGUUAAACCCAUUUUUCAUCCAUUUUAAAAAUUUCUCCAGUACACACCUUCCUUCGCUAUUCUUGCGCAAUCUCCACCGUCGGUAAAAACCUCCCCUCUCUCUUUCUCUAAGCUAAUUACUUAACCAUGUUUUAAUCAUUUUCACUUUUGCUGACAGAUUGCAUGAACCGUCGCGGAUUAAAAAUUCUCUCUCAGAACCCAUCAGUAAACUCUGAUUCUAACUAUCAGAAAUCACUCGAAGUAAAUGAAGUUACUUUUAUUAUUAUUAUUUUUAAUUUAUGUGUUAAUUUGUGAUUUAGUGAAUAAGUUAAAGUUUUGAUUUUGAGUGAAUUUAAUUAAUUAAAUCGGCAAAGAGGGUAUUGAAAUCAUGUAGAAAAUGAAGGAUUUUAUGUGAAAGCUAGGCAAUUUUUUUUUAUUUGCUUGUGCACGUUUGUGUAUUUUCAAUUUUGAAGAAUUUAUGUCUGUUUCGUAGGCUAAUUUUUUGGAUUAGGUAUAAUGUAGGCAGUUCCUAGUAGUUUCAACGAUGUAAAAUAAGUUCUUGAAAUUAAGCAAUUUGGGUUGAUGUUUAACGGAGAUUUGUGUUUCGGUUCUGUAUUUUCUUUGUUUUUCUUUUCUUAGAUGUUGAAGGUGAAAAUGUUUUGUUGAAUUAUGGAAUUUUUUUUUAUGUAAAUGACAGCUGCUUCGUCAAUUGCCCAGCUGAUGUUUAACGGGCAUCUUGCAAUGUUGAGAGAUUGUCAAGCAGUAGCAGUCAAGGUUGGUUGGUGCGGUGUCAGUCUAAGUUAGUCAACUUAUUAUUAUGGGCUGGGUUUUGUUAUAGCAACAAGAUGAUAUUUGUGAAUAAAUUAGGAAGUUUAAGAGUGUUUUGAACUGUUGAUGAUGCAAUGCAUUUAGGCUAUCGAUCCUUUCAUAACUUGUUUCAAAUUUUAUGUAUCUAUGUUGUUGAAUCUUUGCUUACCUUCCAAUAUUAUAGCUGCAUGUGACUGAAUGCCGGGAUUCUUCCUCUAUCUUUCCUGUAUCUGUUUUUAUUUCGCUUCGGAAAAGUAAACUUUUUGCCAUACAGUUUUAUAUUAGAUAUGAUAUUUCAGUGAUUUGAUUCUUUCAAUAAAGUCGACGAUUGCAUUAGGAGAAUCUCUGUGAUAUUCUCUGAUGAAUGUGAAACAUCCCCUUUCCAUACCUUCUUUAUAUAUGUUAGAAAAUUUUCUAGUUUUUAGAAACUUCAUGGAUGCUUGUGCUAGAUGACUUGAUAUAUUUCUGUUUCUUAUAUUUCUAUGUACAUAUUAUUAAAAUAAUUCUCAAAUUAAUCUCCCAUUGAAGUUAACCUAACUCUAAUUACAUCUUCAUUCUUCGGACAAUUAACGGAACUUAUCCUUGCAAACCAAGAGAGAAGGGAGGACUCAAGUUUGAUGGAUUCAUAAUGCCAAAGUAAACUUAGAACUCAACAUUUUGUCAUAAAAAUAGGGUUUUAGAUCUCUGUUAUAUUUAUCUACUCUACCUGAGGCAAGCAACACUCUUGCAAAUCGCUCUCCUCCUUGAACCUAUUGAACUCAGUUCUUUGAAAGCUUAUGCAGACAAUUGCUUCCUCCAGUAACCUUUUCUCAUUUUUUUCUGAUUUGUCAUUCUUAAAUCAAAUGUUCUUCUUGAAAUUUUCAGUCAUUGAGUUAGCCUUGUCUAUAAUGCAAAACUAAACAUGCAUGCUGUUUUUGCUACUGAGAGUUUAAAAACAUAAUUAAAUCUGUAUCUAAUCAGGUUGUGAUUGAAUGCCAACUGAAGUUUGAUUUUGUCCAUGAUUUUAUUCCUCUCCCCGACACAAUUAAAAUGAUAGGGUUAGGGUUAGGGUGCAGCUAUGCACAAAGCAUCAAUCCUCGUUUCGUUUCAACUUUCCAUUAUAUUUUCUAAUUUGCUCAAAAUCAAUCAUACUCCUCAAAUGGUUCCUCCCAUCUGCACAUUUCAUUUCUAUGACCAUAUAUGAUACAUUCAUUCCCUCAAUCUUUUCUUCGUGUUUUCACAAUAACCAAAAAUUAAUUAACAAUACAUCAUCACUAUAUGAUCUUCAGAAGGACAUGAUCAUCUCAGAUUCUGAGAGAGAGAUCACUUGCUUUUCUACAAAGGUUGUUUAUGCUAUUGUGCUUACUGCUUAGGAAGUUCCAAGUAAGGGAUAGAUUCUCAGGAAGAUUGUUUCCAAAGUAAGAGACAAAUGAAAGAAUAAGGGAAUGUCAUGAACAAAAAUUGCAGGCGUUUGUUUCGCCUUUACAUGCAUACUCAUAGCUAGAAAUCAAGAGGUUAAUUUGCCAUUCUGCAAACAUAACUUCACUUGCAUCUUAAUCAUUUUUCCUAUCAACCAAUUCUCCUCUCUCCACUCAAAAAGAAAAUGUCAGGAGCUUUAGCAUCCAGCAUUGCACAAUCCCUUCUAGGGAAGCUAGGCUCAUUUGCUGGUCAAGAAUUUUGUUUGGCAUGGGGACUUGAAGCUGACAUUGCUCGUCUUGAAAAGAGAUUGUCAGCCAUCACCGCAGUGCUGUCCGAUGCUGAGCAGAAACAAUCAAAGAAUGACAAGAUUCGGUUCUGGCUCAACGAUCUCAGAGAAGUCUUGUAUGAUGCCGAGGACGUGCUGGAUGAAAUCGAGUGCGAAACUUUGCGAAGGCAGGUGGUGAAAACAACAGGGAGCACCAGCAGAAAGGUACGGCGCUUCUUUUCAAGCUCUAAUAAGAUUGCAUUCCGUUUAAGAAUGGGUCAUAAGAUAAAGAGCAUCACAGAAAGACUAGCUACGAUUUCAGCUCUUAAGUCUGAGUUCAACCUCAGCGAGCAGCCUAUUGAUUGUGGUCAUGUUUUGCAAGAGGAAACAGAGAUGAACCGAUCCUUUGAGAGCUUUUCCGGUCUUAUCGGAAGAGAUGAAGACAAAGAAUGCCUCAUUAACCUUUUAGCAGAACCUUUUAAGGUAGGUGAUGCACAUCCUUAUGUCCUUCCGAUAGUAGGAAUGGGAGGCUUGGGGAAGACAUCUCUUGCCAAAUCGGUGUAUGAUGCUGAAAAUGUAAAAAGUCAUUUUGAUCUGAAGAUGGAGGUGUGUGUUUCAGAUGAUUUUUCCUUGAAACAAGUGAUACAAAAGAUUAUUAAAUCUGCAACUGGGGAAGGAUGUGUGGAUUCGGAUGAGCGUGAACUUAAAAAAAAACUUGGAGCGAUUCUGAAUGGUAGGAAAUACUUGCUUCUUUUGGAUGAUGUUUGGAAUGAAGAUGCUCAAAAAUGGAUGUUGUUGAAGCCUUUGUUAUCGAAAGGUGCUGCUGGAAGCAAGAUUAUAGUAACUACCCGUAGUCAACGUGUUGCUGAGAUUAUGGGUACUGUUACUGCAUACAACCCAAGUCUUCUAGGUCAAGAGGACUGUCUGUCGUUGUUUUGCAAGUGUGCAUUCAAGGAAGGGGAAAAGGAGUUGUAUCCAAAUUUGGUUGGAAUUGGGAAAGAAAUAUUGGCAAAAUGCAAGCAAGUUCCUUUGGCAGUGAUUAACUUGGGGACUCAACUGUAUGGUAAAACUGAUGAAACAGAGUGGAAAUCGGUGAGAGAUAGUGGGAAGUGGGAAGAAGAGGGAGAUGGCAUUUUACCUGCCUUGAAAAUAAGCUAUCAAAGACUGCCGACUCCCUUGAAAAGAUGCUUUCUUUAUUGUUCGGUUUUUCCAAAAGAUCACCCGUUCCUAGAUAUCUUAUUGGUGCAAUUUUGGAUGGCACAUGGGCUCAUUCUUCAAUCAUCAAAUCCAAAUGAGAACUUGGAAGAUGUUGGCUUGCGUUAUGUGCGCGAGUUGAUCUCAAGAUGUUUCUUCCAAGAUUAUGAGGAUAAGAUGUUUGGAGCUACCUUUAAGAUGCAUGAUUUAAUGCAUGAUCUUGCAUCAUCAUUGGCUCAAAAUGAGUUUUCAAUCAUAAGCUCUCAAAACCACCAAAUUUCCAAAACGACCCGUCAUUUAUCAGUUCUUGACUCUGAUUCAUUUUUUCAUAAAACUCUCCCCAAGUUUCCAAACAACUUCCAUCAAGUGCGGUCACUAGUCUUUGCAGAUAGUAUAGUGGGGCCUACAUGCAAAACAGACUUUGAGAAAUGUUUGUUAGAAUUUAAGCAUUUGCGGUCUUUGGAAUUAAUGGAUGAUUUUGAAUUUGAGACUUUUCCGGAGAGGAUUGGCGCCUUGAAACAUUUGAGAUAUCUCGGUUUUGGCUGGAACACAGAAAUGGAAAGACUCCCAAAAUCUCUUUUCAAAUUACAAAAUUUGCAAGCUCUGGUUACACCAGGUGAAGGAUUAGAAGAGCUGCCCAAAGAUGUAAGGUACUUGAUCAGCCUUAGGUUUUUACUUCUAGUUACUAAGCAGAAGCGGUUGCCAGAAGGUGGGAUUGGGUGCUUGAAAUUUCUUCGAACUUUACUCAUUGUUCGGUGUGAAAAUCUUGAAAAUUUGUGCGAAGAUAUGCAAGGUCUUAGAAGUCUUCGGAAAUUGGUUAUUUAUGAAUGUAAUAGCUUGAUUUCUCUGCCACUAAGCAUAAAAUGCCUAACUACUCUAGAAGAAUUUUGUAUUAAUGGCUGUGAAAAGCUUGAUUUGAUGACAAUAGAAGAAAAGGAGGAAAAAGUUCAACCUCUUUCUCUUUCUCUUCGUAUUGUAAUAUUUGAAGAGUUACCAACAACUUUUGCUUUACCAGAACAACUUCUUCAAGGAUCUGCAGAAUCCUUACAAACAUUCAUCAUCAUAGAGUGUUCAAACAUUAGAGAAAUGCCAGAUUGCAUCGGCAAUUUAAAGAAACUUCAAAAUCUUGAGAUCAGUGAUUGUCCAAGUUUGAGCAAAAGGUGCCGAAGGGGAACAGGAGAAGAUUGGCCCAAGAUCAAACAUAUCCCUAAAAUCGAGGUUGACAGUGAUGACAGUGAUGAGGAGAAUACAGGUAGCAGCAGCAAACCAUAUUUAAAUCUAUCAUAUUUAGUUUUACAUUUUUAUCCAUUCUUCAAAUAUUCCUUUUUUCGUUUAAAUUAUUUUCCCUGAAAACAAUAUUAGCUUUGAAAAAAAAAAACUGACAAAACCUCUUGUGUUUUGGAGAGGCAGGUUCAAGUGGAACUCCAUCAGCAAGAGAAGAAGACAAGGUAUGUCAUGAUAAAAUGCAAAAAGUUGACUAAUUCAUUCAGCAAUUUAAAUUUCUUUGAACUUAAUACAUCAUUUUUAAAUUCUAUGUUUGUCUAAUUUUUUUCAGCUUUCAUUGGGGUUUCUGCUGACGGUUAUAAUACGGGGACUUCAAUUUUUUCGGUGUUGUUGCUGACAAUCUAGUUUGUUCAAAUAAAGAUGAAGAGUGUUUAAUUUGCUGGAGAUUAAUAUUCGUUCUCUGUGUGCUUUGCUCGUAGUUCCUGCUGGUGAUGUACUUGGCUUUUCAUUUGUUCAUAAUGGUUGCCAAUCAGUUCAUUUGCUGGUCAUGGAAUUUGCUCCCUCGUUGUUGAACUUAAUACAUCGUUGCUGGUGAUGUGAGGGUCCUGUCGGCCAAGAUCUUCUAUGACAGUUAGUCUCUUGGUUAUUGGAGGAUGUGAUAGCUUGAUUUCUUUGCCACGAAGCAUAAAAUACCUAACUACUUUGGAAGAAUUUUAUAUUAUUGAUUGUGAAAAGCUUGAUUUGAUGAUAAUAAAAGAAAAAAAUCAACCUCCUUCCCUUCCUCUUCGUAUUGUAAUAUUUAGAAACUUACUAGCCACUCUUGCCAUACCAGAACAGCUUCUUCGAGGAUCUACAGAAUCCUUACAAACAUUUAUCAUUACGGACUGUCCAAACAUUGAAAAAAUGCCAGAGUGCAUCGGCAAUUUAAAGAAACUUCAAAAACUUGAGAUCACUCGUUGUCCAAGGUUGAGCAAAAGGUGCCAAGAGGGAAAAGGAGAAGAUUGGCAUAAGAUCAAACAUAUCUCUAAAAUCGUGUUAAAGGAAAGAUGAUUAUACGAUGUAAUUGAGAGUGAUCAUAGCUUCUAUAAUUGUCAAUCCUUUUAUUCUGUGUAAUUAUAGUAUGUAACCGUUAUUAGCUUAGCUGUAGGAUCUGCUGUUAAUAUCAGCUUGUUUAUAGGAAUUGCUUUCCUAUAAUAGCAUGUAGGUUCUGUAUAAAUCCUCACCUUGUAUACUGUUACAACACAUCAAUGAAAUAUACAUAUUCUCAAUUUAUUAUGGUAUCAGAGCACCGAUCUUGGUGACUCCUCCACCCUUCCGCAACCAUAUACACCAUAGAUAUUUCACAAACACCAUGACAGAACAGAGCAAUAACACCAAACCAGAUGGGAAUCCCGUGGAAAUCACAGACCCAUAUGCCAUACACAGUUCAGAUCAUACUGGACUCAUCCUGGCAACCAAACCACUUGAUGGAGAUAACUAUGGGCAAUGGAGCCGUGCCAUGUACAUGGGUCUCAGCGCAAGAAACAAGAUUGGAUUCAUUGAUGGGACCAUUAAAGCACCACCAAUACAGGAUCCGAAAUAUGCAGGCUGGAAAAGAUGCAACGAUAUGGUGACACUGUGGAUCAUAAACUCAGUUCACUCAGACAUUGCGAGCAGCAUUAUGUACACUGAAUCUGCUGAUGCAGUUUGGAACGACCUCAAGGAGAGAUUCUCACAAAGCAGCGACUCAAGGAUCUACCAGAUUCGACAAGAGAUUGUUGAAAAUCGUCAAGGGCAGCUCUCGGUGUCUUCUUAUUAUACCAAGAUGAAAGCCUUGUGGGACGAAUUAGCAUCAUACCAUGACCCACUCAUCUGCACUUGCGCAGGUUUAAAGGGACUGGCUGAAAGAGAUGAAAAGGAAAGAGUCAUGCAGUUCUUGAUGGGAUUAAAUGAAUCCUACUCAGCAAUACGAGGCUCGAUUCUGAUGAUGAGCCCACUCCCUGAUACACGGCGAGUCCAUGGUCUCAUUCUUCAACAUGAGAGGCAGAUGGACGUUGCCAACCGUCGAGACAUGGGAACGACACCACAUGCAAUGCAGGUACAACGAAAUCCAAUGCCACCAUCAUUCAACAGGAAGCCCUUCUACACACCAUCACGAAAACCACUUAAAUGUACCCACUGUGACGGAGAGGGACACUUAGUGGACCGAUGCUACUAUAUUAUUGGGUUCCCAGAAGGGCACAAAUGGCAUGGCAAACACGUGAAACCCAAGAAUAAGAGAUUCACAAUCAACAAUGUCAAGGCUAGCAGUUCUGCUGCAACCGAGAAACCUCACAUUUCUGAAGGUCCCAUGUUCACUACAGAGGAGUAUAAUCAAAUCAUUGCUAUGCUACGUAAUGGUAAUACACAAUCAAUUGAAAAUGCAACAGGUAUUUUUUCGCCCACAUGCAAUAUAGCACAAACAAGCCCGCAUUCAACUCUAUACUGGAUAGUUGACAGCGGAGCAACCGACCACAUAUCACACUCUCCACCAACACAUAACAUCCUUGAUGUUCAGUGUGACUCUGUUGGUUUGCCCGAUGGGGGGCAAGCAAAAAUAAAGAAUAUUGGCUCUAUAAAAUUAUCACAUGAACUAUCCCUUGAUAAAGUUCUUUAUGUACCAAAGUUUCGUGUCAAUUUAUUAUCCGUUAGCAAAUUGACAAGAGCUUUGCGAUGUAUAGUGAUAUUUUAUCCGAAUUUUUGUAUUGUGCAGGACAUGGAUACGAGGAGGACGAUUGGCCUGGGCAAGCAUUUUGAUGGGCUCUACUAUCUCACCCCAAAACAUAAUCCUCACCUCGCUAAUCAUAUCCACCGUACCUCUAGUCUUUGGCAUCAGCGUCUUGGACACCCAUCAGCCGCACCUUUACUUUCAUUAGCCAAACAUAAUGUUGAAAUAAUGUUUGAUUCAAAACACGUUUGUGAAGUUUGCCCUUUGGCAAAACAAACUCGUUUACCCUUUUCUCAUAGUGAAAUCAAAUCUUCUGCACCAUUCGAUUUAAUUCAUUGUGAUAUAUGGGGCCCCCAUAGAAAUCCAACACACACUGGGGCACGAUAUUUUCUCACUAUUGUAGAUGAUUUCACUCGUUUUACUUGGGUACAUCUUAUGAGUUUCAAAUCUGACACACAAACAAUUUUAAAAUCUUUUUUUUCUUGGGUCAAAACACAAUUUCAACAUGACAUUAAAACUCUUCGUGCGGACAAUGGUGGUGAAUUCCUCUCCAUUCGUCCUUUCCUAGACUCAUGUGGUACCCUUUUCCAACACUCUUGUCCAUACACUCCACAACAGAACGGGGUAGUUGAACGUAAACAUAGACACCUUUUGAAUGUUAGCCGUGCCCUUAAGUUCCAAGCCAAUUUACCCUUGAAAUUUUGGGGAGAAAGCCUCCAAACAGCCUGCUAUCUUAUCAACCGCCUACCUUCACCCCUCCUAUCUCAUAAAUCCCCAUAUGAACUCUUGCACAACACACCUCCCACCUACACACACUUGCGUGUUUUCGGAUGUCUUAGCUAUGCCACCAACCUCACACCUACCAAUAAGUUUGACGAACGUGCUCAUCGAUGUAUCUUUCUUGGUUAUCCUCUUGGUCAGAAAGGCUACAAAGUCUAUGAUCUAGCCUCACACAAAUUUUUUACAUCACGAGAUGUCAUCUUCCAUGAGCACAUCUUCCCUUAUGCCUCUUUAGCACCCGUGAACCACACUGACAUGGCCAUUACUCCCAACUCCAAUGACCACAUCAAUACCCAUGAAAUACUCCCUGCUCCACCCCCACAAGACAUCACCGAACCUUCCUCACCGGACCCACCUCCAUCACUCAACCUUGAGCCCGUCACUGACCUUCCCACCACAAUUGACACAAACCCACCUGUCAUACACGAUUCUCCCACAAUACCUCCAUCCUCUGUACCGACCCAUUCCCCCCCAAUUUCCCUUCGCCACUCUACCCGUCAUACUCGGCCACCUGCUCACUUCAAGGAUUAUGUGGCUCAUCAUUCUGUCUUGCUUCCACCCACAUCAACCUCCCCACAAUCUAUGUCCAGCACUCGCCAUCCACUGCAUCGGUAUGUCUCCUAUUCUUGCUUAUCCCCUGGUUAUCGCCGUUUUGUUUCUAACAUCUCCCAAAUAGUGGAGCCUACUACAUAUGCACAGGCUUGCCAGAAUCCCAAAUGGGUUGCAGCGAUGCAGGCUGAACUCACAGCCUUAGAAGCCAACCACACUUGGAGCCUUGUUCCCCUUCCACCGGGACAACGUCCCAUUGGCUGCAAAUGGGUCUUCAAGCUUAAGUAUCAUUCUGAUGGGACUCUUGAACGCUACAAGGCGCGCCUCGUUGCAAAAGGGUUCACUCAACGUGAGGGAAUCGAUUACAAGGAGACAUUUGCGCCAGUGGCUAAACUCCUUACCGUGCGCUGCCUGUUGACUAUAGCAGCUGUCCGCCAUUGGUCGUUACACCAAAUGGACGUCCAAAACGCCUUUCUCCAUGGUGCCCUUCAGGAGGAGGUCUAUAUGAUGCCUCCACCAGGUUGUCAUCGACAGGGGGAUAACAUUGUGUGUCGACUCCAUAAGUCAUUGUAUGGGCUUAAACAGGCAUCCAGAAGUUGGUUUCAAGAGUUCUCCUCAGCAAUACAAACUAUCGGGUUCUGCCAAUCUAAAGCAGAUUACUCCUUAUUCACCCAAGUCAAAGGUACAUCACUCACUAUUAUAUUGCUUUAUGUUGACGACAUGGUAAUUACAGGUAACAAUGAGGCAGAAAUCAAGAACCUGAAAGUCUUCCUUAGCAGCAAAUUUCGAAUUAAAGACCUCGGACCUUUGAAAUAUUUCCUAGGAGUCGAGGUCGCCCGAUCGAAAGCUGGAAUUACAAUUUGCCAAAGAAAAUAUACAUUGGACAUAUUGGAGGAAGCUGGGUUACUAGGUGCUAAGCCAAUGAAGGUCCCAAUGGAGGCUGAUUUGGUGCUAACACCCACAGGUAGCAGUUCACUCCAUGAACCGGCGAAGUAUCGACGCUUAGUCGGGAAAUUGAUCUACUUGACAAUCACAAGACCAGAAAUAGCGUACACUGUCAAUACGCUAAGUCAAUUCAUGCAAGAUCCACAACGACACCAUCUUGAUGCAGCGUAUCGACUUCUCCGAUACCUUAAAGGAGCUUCGGGUCAAGGUUUGAUGUUUUCCUCACAAAAUAAUUUACAUUUAAUUGGUUACUGUGAUGCAGAUUGGGCUCGUUGCCCCACCACACGCCGAUCCGUGACUGGUUAUUGUAUUUUCCUUGGAAAUUCAUUGGUGUCAUGGAAGAGCAAGAAACAGGUUACAGUAUCUCGCUCAUCCGCAGAAGCGGAGUAUCGAUCCAUGGCCGCAGUUACUUGUGAGUUAAGUUGGUUACGAUAUUUGUUGAAAGAUUUGCAUGUUGAUCAUCCCCAACCAGCAAGGUUGUUUUGUGACAACCAAGCUGCCUUACACAUAGCCGCAAAUCCUGUAUACCACGAACGCACAAAACACAUUGAGAUUGAUUGCCACACUGUUCGUGAGAAGAUUCAAAAGGGAGAAAUCAAAACUUCACAUGUCAGGACAGGGGAACAAGUUGCAGACUUAUUUACUAAACCACUGCGUGCACCCAUCUUCCAUACACAUCUAAGCAAGUUGAGCGUUAUUGACAUCCACACUCCAACUUGAGGAGGAGUGUUAAAGGAAAGAUGAUUAUACGAUGUAAUUGAGAGUGAUCAUAGCUUCUAUAAUUGUCAAUCCUUUUAUUCUGUGUAAUUAUAGUAUGUAACCGUUAUUAGCUUAGCUGUAGGAUCUGCUGUUAAUAUCAGCUUGUUUAUAGGAAUUGCUUUCCUAUAAUAGCAUGUAGGUUCUGUAUAAAUCCUCACCUUGUAUACUGUUACAACACAUCAAUGAAAUAUACAUAUUCUCAAUUUAGGUACUGUGCUUUCCUACAUAUGCACAGGUUGAUGAUGAUACCAGUGGUGAAGAAACAUCUCUUUAGGUACUGUUUACAAUGAUUUAAAUUUAUCAUAUUUAGUUUUACAUUUUUAUCCAUUCUUCAAUUCCUCUUUUUUUUUCGCUUAAAUUCUUUUCCCCGAAAACAAAAUGCAAUUGUUAUUUGACAAAAACCUUGUGUUUUCAAGGGGCAGGUUCAAGUGGAACUCCAUCAGAUUUAACCAGAGCAAAAGAACAAGACAAGGCAUGUCGUGGGUGUCAUGAUAAAAUGCAGAGUUGACUAAUUCAUUCAGCAAUUUAAAUUUCUUUGAACUUAAAACAUCAUUAUUAAAUUCUAUGUUUGUCUAAUUUCUUCAGGCUUUCUUCAGAUCAGCUAGUCACUUACGAAGAUCAACUUAAGGCUCGGAGUGUCUGCUUUGUGUAAUUUCCUUGGCUAGUUGUGUGUGAUGAUUUGUCAUUAAUAAAUUGAUAAACAUUUGGUUGUUCUGAAUUAAUGGCUUGCCUCUUUAUCAUAUUUGAAAUAUUGUGUGUAAUCAUUUCAAUAAUUAUGCUUAACAUAUAAAUUCGUCCUUCUACACAAACUAAAAAGCUGAAGUUGGGAGGAGAAGGAGCAAGCUACUUGUUUCUAAUAAUACAACAGUCAUCACGAAUUUCCAUCUUACUGCAAUGUCUCAUUCAUGAGUUUCAAAGAUCUUAACGAAGAGACAUCCAUUUCCGCACCCUUCAAGAACAUCUACCCUUUCUUUAUAUCUGAAUAAUGCAUGGGAACAUGCUGUUGCUCUAAUUAAACUCUAAAUUAAAGGUCUGCAUGACUAGCUAUCAUGCCGAGUAGAUUUUCUAUUCCAAAAAGAAAAUCACAGAAACUUCCCUUAGAGGCAGAAGUUUGCUGCUGCUACCUGCAUAUUGCAGCAUCCUGAUAUAUAGGUGUAGAGCCUGAAAGCUGCACUAUAAAUGUAAUCUGGUUCAGUCAUCGAUCGAGAAUCAGACUCCUUCCCUAACAAAUUCAUCUCUCCAAUACACGCCUUCCUUCGCUCUUCUUGCACAAUCUCCACCGUCGGUAAAAACCUCCCCUCGCUCUUUCUCUAAGCUAAUUACCUAACCAUGUUUUAAUCAUUUUCACUUUUGCUGACAGCUUGCAUCAACCGUCGCGGAUUACAAAUUCUCUCUUCAUAACCCACUGGUAAACUCUGAUUCCUACUAACAGAAAUUACCGUAGUUUUGAAACCCGAUCCGGCCUAGCGGGUUAAUCUGAAGCUGAAAUUGGACCGGCUUUAAAAAAAAUAGGAAAAGUAAAAAUUCAGGGUGACCCGACAACCCGGUAAGACCCAGUCAAAAACCCGGUUGUAACCCGUUGACUUUUUUUUAAAUCAAAACAACAUCAUUUUAAUUUUUUUAAAAAAAUUAACCCGGACGACCUGGUGACCCGAUCAAAACCCGGAACCCAGGUAUUGGACCUGGCCGAGUUUAAAAACUAUGGAAAUUACUCAAGGUAAAUGAAGUUAAUUUUAUUAUUAUUAUUUUUAAUUUAUGUGUUAAUUUGUGAUUUAGUGAAUAAAUUAAAGUUUUGAUUUUGACUGAAUCUAAUUAAUUAAAUCGGCAAAGAGGGUAUUGAAAUUAUGUAGAAAAUGAAGGAUUUUAUGUGAAAGCUGGGCAAUUAUUUUUUAUUUGCUUGUGCACGUUUGUUUAUUUUCGAUUUCGAAGAAUUUAUGUCUGUUUCGUAGGCUAAUUUUUUGGGUUAGGUAUAAUGAAGGCAGUUCCUAGUAGUUUCAACGAUAUAAAAUAAGUUCUUGAAAGCAAUUUGGGUUGAUGUUUAACGGAGAUUUAUGUUUCGGUUCUGUAUUUUCUUUGUUUUUCUUUUCUGAGAUGUUGAAGGUGAAAAUUUGUUGUUGAAUUAUGGAUUUUUUUUUUUAUGUAAAUGACAGCUGCUGCGUCGAUUGCCCAAGGGCAUCUUGCGAUGUUGAAAGAUCGUCAAGCAGUAGCAGUCAAGGUUGGUUGGUGCGGUGUCAGUUUUAGUUAGUCAAUUUAUUAUUAUGGUCUGGGUUUUGUAAUAGCAACAAGAUGAUUUUUGUGAAUUAAAUUAGGAAGUUUAAGAGAGUUUUGAACUGUUGAUGAUGCAAUGCAUUUAGGCUAUCGAUCCUUUCAUAACUUGUUUCAAAUUUUGUGUAUUUACGUUUGUUGAAUCUUUGCUUACCUUCCAAUAUUAUAUAGCUGCAUGUGACUGAAUGCCGGGAUUCUUCCUCUCUGUCUUUCCUUCAUCUGUUUUUAUUUCCCUUCCGAAAAGUAAACUUUUUGCCAUACAGUUUUAUAUUAGAUAUGUUGGAUCUUGCUUCCAAAUCCUAAUCUGCAUAGAAGAAGCUCGAUAUUUCAGUGAUUUGAUUCUUCCAAUAAAGUCGAUGAUUGCAUUAGGAGAAUCUCUAUGAUGUUCUCUGAUGAAUGUGAAACAUCCCCUUCCCAUACCUUCUUUAUAUAUGUUCGAAAAUUUUCUUGUUUUCAGAACUUCAUGGAUGCUUGUGAUAGAUGUACUUGAAAGUAACAUGCUUAUUUUUUUCUGCAUGUAGGUGCAGCACUACCCUGGGUUAGAAAUCCAGAUGAAGAUCGACAUAGCCAUUAUGUCACUUAUCCCAAAAUCUGUUGCAUGAGUAAGUGAUAACAUUAUCUUAACAAUUUUAAUUAUUUCUCUAUUGCAUUCUGUUGGCACCAUCUUUUUGUGAAGUUAGUUUGUGGAUGGUAAAUCACAUGAUUAUGCACAGAAAGAAGAACUAAUGCUGAUAAAAUUGCAGUAUAUGUUCUAGCCCUCUGACGUAAAAACCCUACAAAGGGAUGUUCUUUUUAGGAUAUGAUAACAUUCAACAGGUUUUGAAGAAUACAUGCGUCUUCUUUUUCUCAUUGGACAACAAUUUAUUCUCCUGAUUGUUUUUGUGCAUAUCUCAUGUGUUCCCUUUCUAAUUAAAUUGCCUUCUUUUGAUUUUGAUGAGUGAUCCACUGGCUUAGAGUUACGUUUUGCUCUUUUUGUCUUUCCACAACUUUUCCCUGAUUACAGAUUUAACUGGCUGAUAACAGAAUUCAGAGAGACUAUUUCUUCAGAACUUGGUCUGUGUAUUCCUUUGGUUAUUUUAUGUGUUCUUGAUCUCCUUGAUAGAUACAUGAAGAACUCGUGUAACUUCUUCAUUGCAUGCAUUCUCCAUAUUUCAAUUACUAUUAUUUCUUCAAGUGAUCAGAUACAUUGGAGAAAUUGCCAGCAACAAAGUGCAGAAGCGCAUGCAUUGUGAUGGGGGUGGCCAUUGAAGUCUUCUAAAUGAUGUAGAAUGGUACAGGGACUGGUGGUCUGGAGUCGUGUCAUUUUCUUGAUUCUCCGGUGCCUGUUUGAGAAGUUGCUACAGUAUAACACCAUCUAAGCAAUUCCAUAAUUAACCAGGGAACUGAGGUUUUAUGAUUCCUGGGUGUAUAAAAUUCUUACCUGACUGGGUUCUAACGAUAACUCUUAAUUCUCUCAUCACCACGCACCUGUUACUUGAAUUCCAUGCGCGACAGCACAUCCUCACAAAUAAUCGUUUUCUUUUUGCUCAUUUGCGUCCUUACUAAUUGUGCUUUUUAACAUUCCACAGCCCAUAAUCCCAUUUCAAGAUACCCGUAAAAAGACCAGAAGUGAAACUUGCUAUUAAGGAAAUAUUUUAGGACUAGUUCGGCCAUGGCCGAAAAACUACUAGCCCAUAGCCUAUUAAAACUCUUAAAAGUCCAUGAAUCCAAUAUCCCAGCAAAACCUUGAAGAACUCUCACCGUUACCUUUUUUAUACGGUUAUGUUACGUAGUAAAAAUAAUCAAAUAAAUUAAGAAUGUACUUAAUUUGUUAAACAACAUUUUCCCUUUUCAGCAGCUUGAAAUUUGGGUGGAAUUAUGGUUCCUUGAGAAGAGUAGUAAAAUUAAUGCUAUAAAUGAUUCAGAAAUGGAAGGACCAUAUAGAACCGUGUUCAUAAGAACUGGACUGUCAUAGUAGCAAGCGAGCUAAGACCGGUCCUCAAUUCCUAUAUAUAUAGAACUUCAAAGCAGUAUCUGCCUUAUUUGGCCCAUUGCACAGAAACAAAUAAGGAUUAAAUCGCAGCUGUAAUGCACUCUUAAAAGAAAUUGAUUUGUAGGCAAUAAGUAACUCACUACAAUACGAAAAAAACAACUGUUUGGUCUUCGCAAAAGUUAGGAAGUGCACCCAUAUUCUGCGAACCCAUCCGCAAACUAUUUUGAGUAAAAAAAAAUAAAAAGAUGAUUUUUUAAAGUGCACUGGCAAAGUGUAUUUAGGAAUUAUGUGAUUGUUUUUUAAAGUGUUUUUUAUUUAAAAAUAUUUUAAAAAAAUUUAUUUUUAACAUCAAUGCAUUAAAAUAAUCUAAAAAUUUCAAAACAAAAGUAUUAAUUCAAACACAUAUCAGAAAAUAAGGCAGUUUUUUUUUUCUGAUGUAGGGUAUUUUUAAAAAAACAAUUGAAAAUAUAUUUAAAUAAUAUUUUUAAAUAUUGUUUUUCUUUAUAUUUUCCCAUUAAAAUAUUUAUAAAAUACUAAAAAUAUUAUUUUGAUUUUUUUUUCAAAAAAUACUCAAAAUUUUGGAAAAACUAGUUGCAUUACUCUUAUCAACCAGGCUUUUUAUAAUUAUUUUCUUUCUCCAAAUUUUAUAUUCAAAACGAGUUAACUCGGUUGAUUCAGGUUUUUUUAAAUAUGUUAAAAUAAUAUUUUUAAAUACCCUUUUUUGUUAUAUUUACCAUUACAAUAUUUAUAAAAUAUUAAAUAUAUUGUUUUGAAUUGUUUUUUAAAAAAUAUUCAAAAUUUUGGAAAAACACUGCUCAAUUAUACUCAUUUCAAAAAAAUGAUGUUUUUUUAACUGAGUUGAUUCAGGUUUUUUUACUUAUUUUCUAUGAAAUUAUCUUAAUCUCCUAACUCAAGUAGCAAGUUUAAGAAGUUAAUUUAGGUUUAAUAUUCAUAAAUCCUAUUUUAUUGACAAAAGGCGUGAAGUUUUCUUUAAAUUAAUUAAUUAAAGAAAACAUAUUUUCAUAGAAGCAUGCACCCAGCAUGUGGUGGUGUCCACAUAGGGAAUAACAAUGGUCAAAUCCAACGGUAAAUACUCCAUCACCUAAAUAAAAAAAAAGUCUCUCUCCCCAGACAACUAGCAUCCCAAUCCCCACGUAGCCAAUUCAUAAUUCACAGCGACAAAUGCGUUUCAAAUGAUGUUUUAUUAAAAUUUAUUUUUUUUAUUUAAAAUUAUUUUUUUAUAUUAUAGAUGGAUCAAAUGGAUAUACAGAUAUACAGAUAUCUGUACAUUUAUAAAAGCAUAAGAGCAUGUUUGGUAUUAUAUAUAAAAAAAACUUUUUAUAUAAAAAUAAUAUUUUUUUAUUUUUUAAAAUUUAUUUUUGAUUAACAUAUUAAAAUGAUCUAAACUCUCCCCAAGUUUCCAAACAACUUCCAUCAAGUGCGGUCAAUAGUCUUUGCAGAUAGUAUAGUGGGGCCUACAUGCAAAACAGACUUUGAGAAAUGUUUGUUAGAAUUUAAGCAUUUGCGGUCUUUGAAAUUAAUGGACGAUUCUGGAUUUGAGGCUUUUCCGGAGAGGAUUGGCGCCUUGAAACAUUUGAGAUAUCUCCAUUUUUUGAACAACGCAAAAAUAAAAAGACUCCCAAAAUCUAUUUUCAAAUUGCAAAACUUGCAAGCUCUGGUUACAGGUGAAGGAUUAGAAGAGCUGCCCAAAGAUGUGAGGUACAUGAUCAGCCUUAGAUUUUUAUAUCUAGUUACUAAGCAGAAGCAGUUGCCAGAAGAAGGGAUUGGGUGUUUGGAGUGUCUUCAAACUUUAUUCAUUGCUGAUUGUGAAAAUCUAGAAAAUUUGUGCGAAGAUAUGCAAGGUCUUACAAGUCUUCGAAAAUUGGUUAUUGCUGGGUGUCCUCGCUUGAUUUCUCUGCCGAGUAGCAGAGAAAAAAAUUCAACCUCUUUCUCUUUCUCUUUGUAUUGUAAUAUUUGAAGAGUUACCAACAACUCUUGCUUUACCGGAACAGCUUCUUCAAGGAUCUGCAGAAUCCUUACAAACAUUAAUCAUCAGAGAUUGUUCAAACAUUAGAGAAAUGCCAGAUUGCAUCGGCAAUUUAAAGAAACUUCAAAAUCUUGAGAUCAGUGAUUGUCCAAGUUUGAGCAAAAAGUGUCGAAGGGGAACAGGAGAAGAUUGGCCCAAGAUCAAACAUAUCCCUAAAAUCGAGGUUGACGGUGAUGACAAUGAUGAAGAGACAUCUCAUGCAGGUAGCAGCAGCAAACCAUAUUUAAAUUUAUCAUAUUUAGUUUUACAUUUUUAUCCAUUCUUCAAUUUCUUUUUUCGUUUAAAUUAUUUUCCCUGAAAACAAUAUUAGCUUUGAAAAAAAAAAACUGACAAAAGCUCUUGUGUUUUGGAGAGGCAGGUUCAAGUGGAACUCCAUAAGCAAGAGAAGAAGACAAGGUAUGUCAUGAUAAAAUGCAAAGUUGACUAAUUCAUUCAGCAAUUUAAAUUUCUUUGAACUUAAUACAUCAUUAUUAAAUUCUAUGUUUGUCUAAUUUCUUCAGGUUUACUAAUGUGAGGGUCCUGUCGGCCAAGAUCUUCUACGACAGUUGGUCUCUUGCAAAGAUCAGCUGAAGGCUCGGAGUGUCUGCUUUGUGUAAUUUCCUUGGCUAGCUGUCUGUGAUAAUUUGUCAUUAAUAAAUUGAUAAACAUUUGGUUGUUCUGAAUUAUUUAAAUAAUUAUGCUAAUUGUUUCUGAUAAUACAACAGUCAUCAAGAAUCUCAAACUUACUGCAAUGUCUCAUUCAUGAGCUUCAAAGAUCUUAACGAAGAGACCUCCAAUAACAUAUUAAAAGUUUAUAAAUUUUUACACUCUGUAUUUCAUUAAAUUUUGAAAUUUCUUUGCUUAAAAUUAUUUAUUUUUUUAUUUUUUUAAUAUGUAACUUUUAAAAAUAAUUUUUAAAAAAUAAAAAAAAUAUUUUAAUAUAUUUUUAAAUAAAAAGACCUAACACCAUCUAAAACCACCCCUUGAUCCUAACUAAUUUUUGAAAAACAAACCUUCUAGCUUCCUUUAACCAGUAAAACCGAACUUUUAACUCUGGACUGGAUUGUGUAUUCAUUGAUAGUGUAUAUGGAUUUCUUUUAUAUAUAUAAAUCAAGUAUUCAACAUAUUCAUCCAAAUAUAAUAAUAAAAUCAACGAAUGUACACUUUUUGAAGACAUUUUCCCUACUUCGACAGGCUCAAUGAGAUUAUCGUUUCUAACUCUGGAGUGGAUUGUGUAUUCACUGAUAGUGUAUAUAGAUUUUUUUUAUAUAUAUAAAUCAAGUAUUCAACAUGAAUGUGCACUUUUUGAAGACAUAUUCCCUUAUAAAAGAUACAAGAAAUUCAUUCACAUACAAAAUCAAAGAAAAAUAGCUUAGGUGGUCUCAUCAAACUAUUGAUGAAAGAUCUAUACUCACCAUCUAAAAAUUCAUUCACUACUACUAGGUUAUAAAUAGAUCUUCAAGAGAAAAGUAAAAGCUAAUAGAACCAUCCAAAAAUACAAAGUAAGAUUUAUUGUAAAGGUUUCAAACAACAAAAAGAAAAAAAAAUUAUUUUGCUACAUAUUUAUCUAUGUUAAUAAUAAAUUUUAUAUGUACAUUAAUAGUUAUUACAAUUAUUAACAAGUUAGAAAUACAUCAAAUUUAUAAAAAAAAUAAUUUUUUUAAAUAACGAUUUUGACGGAGAGGUAUUUAUAAAACAAACUAAGAGGUUUGUUGUUAAAAAAAAAAGAUUUUAAACUUAUUAAGUUAUCUAGUUUGAAACAAAUUUUUAAAUAAUAGCAUGAAAAGUUUCACAAUGUUAUAUUUAAAAAAAUAUAUAUUUUAAGAAUUUUAAAAAAUAUUUUUUAAAAAUUUCAAGAAAACAAGAAAAAAAAUUACAAUAAAUGGAGGUCGAAAUUCAUUAAAUAAUUAAAAAUUCAAAAGCUAAAGAUGAAAUCGAAAAAAUAUAUCAAUAUUCAAGGACUAUAUAUAAUGCAAUCAGGGAUGAAAUUGAGAAAAAAUAAAGAAAGAAUGGUUGAAAUUUGCCAAAAAUGAAACAAUUAAACUUGGGGGACCUUUAAAAAAAUGAAAUUUUCCUUCGCAUCAAAAUAUUGUCAUUUUAAAUAAAAAAAAAAUUAAAUGCAACGGAGUCAUUCUGAUGCUUCACUUCACUACUAUUUGAUCGCUUUCCCUUGAUCCAAAUCUUUUAAGCAAAUCAUGGCUGGGAAGGCACCGAAAUCCUUUGACAGUGUGUCGUUAACGGUACUGCUACGCCGAGUAUUGUGUGUGAUCUCCUAGAUUUUUUGGUGACAGGAGGUCGUCUAAAUCUGGGUAAUGUAAGCGACAAGUCGCUUGUUAUUUUUUUUUCAAAGCAUUAAAAGUCACUCGCCCUUUAAGAAGUUCUUUUUCUAAACAAGGACAGACAGAAGCGGUAGCCAGAAGGUGGGAUUGGGUGCUUGAAAUUUCUUCGAACUUUACUGAUCUAUGAGUGUGAAAAUCUACAAAAGAUGCUUUCUUUGUUGUUCCAUUUUUUCAAAAGAUUACUACUUUUAUGAUGUCGUUUGAAUUGCGUAUGUGUUGAUGUAAAAUAAAUUUUAAAAAACAAAAAUAUUAUUUUAAUAUAUUUUUAAAUAAAAAAACUUUUUUAAAAAAUAAUUUUAGAUGUCACAUGUACUCAUUCAAUCAAAGUCCAAAUGACAGCUUGCGUUAGGCGCGCGCGUUGAUCUCAAAAUAUUUCUUUUUAAAUGCAUUGAAUAAUAAUCUCUCAAAACCCCCAAUUUUCCAAACUAUUAAAAUAUUUGUCUGUCCUUGAUUUCAAUAUUUUAUUUUUUCAUUAAACUCUUACAAAUGUUUUAUAUUAUUUUAUAUUUAAUUUUUAUUAAAUAAAUAAAAAUAAUCAUAUUAAAUUUUAUAAUCAAUUGGUCAACAAGACUCUAAUAACAUAUUAAAAAAUUAUCUUAAUCUAAUAAUUUAAACUAUUAAAUAAAAUAAAUAUAAUUUAUAUUAUUCUCUGCUAAUAAUUAACUCACUAUGUCACGGAAAAAAACAAUUGUUUGCUCUAUUAGGUCUUUGCAAAAGGUAUAGGGUUACCCAUAUUCUACGAAGUACGAACCCAUCCACAAACCAUUUUGAGUGAAAAAAUAAAAAAAUGCAGGUCCAAGCCGAAGUAGUGCACCGGCUAAGCUCCUUUAAUGAAAUGGCUGCAUUUAGUGCACUGGUAAAAGCACAUCAAUUCCACCGAAAAGAAAUUUUAAAAUUAAAAUAAAUUUCAAUGGUCAAAGAUAAGGCCUAAGGCUCCAUGCCAAAGACAAUAAUUCAAACACAUAUCAGAAAAUAAGGCAGUCUUUUUUUAAAUAUAUUAAAAUAAUAUUUUUAAAUACUGUUUCUUCUUUAUAUUUGCCAUUAAAAUAUUUAUAAAAUACUAAAAAUAUUGUUUUUAAUUUUUUUUCAAAAAAUAUUCAAAAUUUUGAAAAAUCAUGGUUCAAUUGCACUCCUCGACAGGGCUUAAAAAAUUUAUGCUUCUACUAUACAGUCUCAUAAUUUGUUUAUUACUUUUUUUUUUUAAAGUUAAUUCAAGUUUUUUUUAAUUGAUAUUUAUUCUUGAAAAGGACAUUAAAAUGAUCUAUAUAAAAACAUAAAAAUAGUUUAAGUAAUGAAAAAAAUUAAAAAAUUCAAAUUUUUUUAAUAAUACUUUUAAAAUAUAAAAACAAAUAAUCUCUAGAGUUGAUAUCCUCGUGUGGUUGGCCCAAAUAUAUGAUAGUGGUAGAGAUUUUCAGAUAGAAUUUGGAGCUGUAUAUGGUAAAAGCACAUCAAUUCCACCAAAAAAAACUUUUAAAAUUAAAAUAAAUUUCAAUGGUCAAAGAUAAGGGUACAUGCCAAAGACAAUAAUUCAAACACAUAUAGGAAAAUAAGGUAGUUUUUUAAAAAUAUAUAUUAAAAUAAUAUUUUUAAAUACUGUUUUUUCUUUAUAUUUGCCAUUAAAAUAUUUAUAAAAUAGUAAAAAUAUUGUUUUGAAUUUGAUGAUCUGUAGGUAUUUCACUCUUGCCUUUUGUCGUCUUGUCCGUCUUUGACUCAGAAAGCACUUCUAUUACAGCAUUCUACAGAUGAAAGAUACAAUUGAAAACUAGAAUCUGGACUCCACACUCUUCAGGUUAGCAAAUUACAGACCUAAUUUUUAAAUAUUUUAAUCUAAAAGAUAAAAUUAACAAAAAUAAAAUUUAAAAAAUCAUAAUAAAAAUUCCAAAAAAAACAAUGGUCUGCUCUGUAUUUUUUAAUUUUUGUUACUUCAAAAAGUUUAAUAACAUAAUUUUUCACCAAAACUAUUCUUUUUAAUAAUAUGAAAAAAAAAAUUAUAAAAAGUCAAGUGCAAUUAAAAAAACCCAUCAAAUCAAUAAACUUGAAUAAUUUGGGUUAUUUCGACUAACCCAUAAAUCAUGUUAACAUGGUAGAAAGAUAAAAUUAAAAAAAAAUUAUAAAGUUAAACUCUCAACCAUUUUAAUAUUAUAAAAUAAAAUGAACUAAAAUAAUUUAAAAAAAUUAUAAAAAUAAAAAUAUAUAUAAAAACUAUAUAUAUAAAAAAAAAUAUUAUAGCAAUCCGUGAUUUUGUAAUAAAAUUACUGUGAUUUUUCUAAUUCAUCUGUACAUAUUUAAUCCAGAUAUGAUUAAAAUAGAAACUAACUCGAUUUUUUGGCGACAGCAGGUCGCCUGAGUAAAUCUGGGCAGUGCAUAUUUUUUUCAAAGCAUUAAGGGUCGUCCGCCACUUAAGAAUAUGGUCAAAUAUGGGUGACUGUGUACAUUUACUUGUAUAAAAGCAAAGGGACCCACGCAGGUCCCUGUGUUUCAUCAUGUAGGCUGAACCUGUCAACACUUUAGAUGGAGGAUGCCUGCUGAUUAGUCAAUGAAGUCAAUUUGGACGCGUGGAUACUUUACGGUGGGGUCUUGUUUUGUGAAACUUUCGGCUUGAGAAAUACUGGGAAUGUGGAUUUUGCAUUUUAGUGAUUCCUCGGUGUGAAAUGUGGAAACUGUGGGUGGGGCGGCCAUGAUAUUAACAUAUAUCCCUGUUUUCCAAGCCACAAUUUCAAUUGAUAUCAAAUAUAAUGUAUCAAAUAAGUUAAUAAUGUAUUUAAUUUAUUAUAUAUUAUUUUCCCUCCUCAACUUCACAAUUGGGUACAUAAAUUAAGAUUAAGUAGAUAACACGUAAGUAGGGUGGGAUUAUAGCUUCUUGGUCAACUACUCAAAAACAAUUAAGGAUUAAAUCGAUCGCUAAUAUUAUGAAGAAAAGAAAAGAAAGAGAACAACCCAUUAAACAAGCAAUCCAUGGAGGAUGGAGCCAUUGUACAUUUUAAUUAAGAAGACUCAACGACUUCUCCUCUCCACUCAGAAAAGAAAGCGGAACUCCACUCUUAUCUCAAUCAUUUUUUUCCCUAUCAAACACUUCCUCCCCUCACUCAAAAAGAAAAUGGCCGAAGCUUUUGCAGCCGAUAUUGCAAAAUCCCUUCUAGGGAAGUUAGGCUCUUUCGCUGUUCAAGAAUUUCGUUUGGCAUGGGGACUUGAAGAUGACCUUGCACGUCUUGAAGAGAUAUUGAAAGCCAUCAACGCGGUGCUGUCCGAUGCUGAGCAGAAACAAUCAAAGAAUAACGGGAUUCGGCUCUGGCUCCAUAUGCUCAGAGAAGUCUUGUAUGAUGCAGAGGACGUGCUGGACGAAAUCGAGUGCGAAACUUUGCAAAGGAAGGUGGUGAAAACUAAAGGGAGCACCAGCAGAAAGGUACUCCACUUCUUUACAAGAUCUCCAUUCCGUUUAAUAAUAGGUCAUAAGAUAAAGAAGAUCAUAGAAAGACUAGGUGAGAUUUCAGCUCUUAAGUCUGACUUCAACCUCAGCGAGCAGGCUAUUGAUUGUAGUCAUGUCUUGCAUGAGGAAACAGAGAUGAACCGAUCCUUUGAGAGCUUUUCCGGUCUUAUUGGAAGAGAUAAAGACAAAGAACGCAUCAUCAACCUUUUAGCAGCACCUUCUAAGGUUGGUGAUGCACAUCCCGUUGUCCUUCCGAUAGUAGGAAUGGGAGGCUUGGGGAAGACAUCUCUUGCCAAAUCGGUGUGUGAUGCUGAAAAUGUAAAAAGUCAUUUUGAACUGAAGAUGGAGGUCUGUGUUUCAGAUGAUUUUUCCUUGAAACAAGUGAUACAAAAGAUUAUUAAAUCUGCAACUGGGGAAAGAUGUGCGGAUUUGGAUGAGGGUGAACUUAAUAAAAAACUUGAAGAAAUUGUGAAUGGUAGGAAAUACUUGCUUCUUUUGGAUGAUGUUUGGAAUGAAGAUGCUCAAAAAUGGUUGUUGUUGAAGCCUUUGUUAUCAAAAGGUGCUGAUGGAAGUAAGAUUAUAGUAACUACCCGUAGUCAACGUGUUGCUGAGAUUAUGGGUACUGUUCCUGCGGACAACCUAAGUCUUCUUGGUCAAGAGGACUGUCUGUCGUUGUUUUACAAGUGUGCAUUCAAGGAAGGGCAAAAGGAGUUGUAUCCAAAUUUGGUUGGAAUUGGGAAAGAAAUAGUGGAAAAAUGCAAGCAAGUUCCUCUGGCAGUGAUUAACUUGGGGACUCAACUGUAUGGUAAGACUGAUGAAAAAGAGUGGCAAUCGGUGAGAGACAGUGAGAAGUGGGAAGAAGAGGGAGAUGGCAUUUUAC